GUGUUUCUGCCCACUUGCCAUUUUUUCCUUUUUUUGCCAAUGUCUAAAUGUCCUCUCUCAUUUAAUUCUAGCUAUAUUUUUUUCAGGCUUGUUUUUCCAGUUUACCAAUCAUUCAUUGCUUUAAUAUGUCUAAAAUUAUGUGCUGAAUUUGUACUUCAGUUGUUAUAUUUUUUCAGCUCUGGCAUUUUCAAUAGUCAUUUUAUUUAUGUUUCUUUAAUCUUGUAUUUUCAUAUCUAACUUAUUAACCAUGUCAUCACAUAAAGCCUUCAUCUAAUAAUUGUAAUAUUUAGAUCUUUUAGGUGUCUAUUUCUAUAUUCUGCUUUGUUCGCUUGACUUUUGAUAAUUUGAUCAUGUCUACUGGGAGGAUGGGUGAUUUUAGAUGGAUGUUUUAUGUGAUUUUAGAUGGAAAAGAAACCUACAGCUAGGUCAUGGAGAACUUUCAAACUGUAGUAAAUAAUUUUUCCAAUUUUCAUUACAGUAGAAAGACACUGAAGAGGUUUAAGUGGCUAACUCUCUUCAUAUUUGCCUUUUAUAAAGAUUGUUCUCACUUUCACAGGAGUGAAUGGAUUGGAAUCAAGAAUGGAGACACUGAACAAUGGAUAAGGCUUGCAGGAAUUCAGCCAGAGGGGUGUGAGAUGCAGAGUGGAAUUCAGGCUGAUGGAGACAGAAAAGAAGAGGUGCUUAAGAGAUAGAUCCAGUAGGGUGACCCUCAAGCUUUUGUCCUUAGGGACUCAAUGGGGAGAAAAUGGUGCCAUUUCCUAAUGGAGGUAGAUUGGGGAUUUCAAAUUCAGGAGAAAUGAGAGUUCACUUGGACUUGAGGAGUCUGAGAUGUUUGUGAGUUUUCCUAGUGAAUGUGGUUAGAAUCUCCAACAGAAAAGUCUGGAUGCAUUUCUAACCCCUGGGAGUUGUCAACCUGUGGGUGAAAGGAGUGUAAUUUAUAGGAAUUAAUGAAAACACAUGGGAAAAGGUGAAGGGCAAGGGCAAAGUGCUUGGGUAGAGGCCAUUAGAAAACAGAUAGUCCAUAAAUAAUUAAGUCCUCGGAUAGCACACUUUGGAGAGAAUAACACUGGUCUUGUGAAAAUCGUUCUUUUUGAGACUCAGUUUGUUGCUAAAACAGCAAGCUUUGCUGCUGACUCCCUCUCUGGCUUCUUGAUGCCCCACCACAUUGUCUCUUUUCCAUACUCCCAUGGCUCUGUCAUCCCAUUUACCAGGAGCUCCUCGACAGAUCCAGACAGAAAUUAGUGCUGCACUCUUGGAUCCUGAGAACUGAAGGAAUAAGCAAAGUCAGAGACAUUGAAGAUGCAAGAGAAAGAAGUGGAAUUAACAGAAAGUUCUCCGAGAAGACAAGAAGAAAUGGAUUACAGAUCCCUUAGCAGACAAUAGGCCAAGGAGGGAAAGGAUGUUAGUGAGCAAGGUGAACAAGAAGCUUAUCUGGCAAUUUUGUUGGGAUAUAAGAACCAGGAAAAAAGCACCAGUUGUUGAGAAGACAAGAGAAACAGCAUUGUGGAGUCUAAAUUCGACUUAGAAUUUCAAAGUCUUGAGAAUCCCGGAACUAGUGAAUGGAUUGCUGAGUGUUCUUGACCUCUGCUCCAUCCUGUGGGCAAUUCAUUCAUAUGUCAAGGGGUUUAUGCACUCCGUGUGCACUCAGGAGCCUGUGGAAGACAAAGAGCAUCAGAAUCCCUGGAACUGGAGUUCUUGGUGGUCAGGAGCAGUCAUGUGGGUGCUGUGAACCAAACCCAGGUUCCCUGCAAGAUCAACAAGAGCUUUGAACAGCUGAGUCAUCUCUCCAGCUCCUUCCUCAUAACUUUGAAAGGCUAUGGAAUUGCAGACUCUGAUUUUGAGUCAUUCAGAAACUCUUUAGAAAGCUCUUUCCUUUCUCUUUUUCUUCAUGAGCUUCUGUGUGACUGUGUUUCUAUACUACAUAAUAUCUCACACAUCUGAGGCUGUGUUCAUUUUUUCAACAUUUUGUUUCUCAGACUAGAUAAUUUUAGGUCAACUGCAUUUCCCUUUACCUUCAACCAACUCACUCACUUCUGAGCCCUUCUAGUGAGUUUUUAUUUCUGUAAGUAUAUCUUUUCACUUCAUAAUUUCUAUUCAGUUUAAAAUAUUUACUAUCUGCUUAUCUAUAUUUUC